rnacentral:rRNA from 1 species
UACGAGGGGGGCAAGCGUUGUUCGGAAUUAUUGGGCGUAAAGGGCGCGUAGGCGGUUUGACAAGUCUGAUGUGAAAUCUAUGGGCUCAACCCAUAGUCUGCAGGCGAAACUGUCGGGCUUGAGUAUGGGAGAGGUGAGUGGAAUUUCCGGUGUAGCGGUGAAAUGCGUAGAUAUCGGAAGGAACACCUGUGGCGAAAGCGGCUCACUGGACCACAACUGACGCUGAGGCGCGAAAAGCUAGGGGAGCAACAGG